AAUCUAGCAUAUCAAUAAGCGGAGGAAAAGAAACUAACAAGGAUCCCCUAGUAACUGCGAGUGAAGCGGGAAAAGCUCAAAUUUAAAAUCUGGCGGUCUCUGGCCGUCCGAGUUGUAAUCUAGAGAAGUAAUGCCCGUGCUGGACCGUGUAUAAGUCUCCUGGGAUGGGGCGUCAUAGAGGGUGAGAAUCCCGUCUUUGACAUGGACUACCAGUGCAUUGUGGUAUGCUCUCAAAGAGUCGAGUUGUUUGGGAAUGCAGCUCAAAAUGGGUGGUAAAUUCCAUCUAAAGCUAAAUAUUGGCGAGAGACCGAUAGCGAACAAGUACCGUGAGGGAAAGAUGAAAAGAACUUUGGAAAGAGAGUUAAACAGUACGUGAAAUUGCUGAAAGGGAAACGCUUGAAGUCAGUCGCGUUGGCCGGGGAUCAGCCUUGCUUUUGCAUGGUGUACUUUCUGGUUGACGGGUCAGCAUCAAUUUUGACCGCUGGAAAAAGACCUGGGGAAUGUGGCAGCUUCGGCUGUGUUAUAGCCCCUAGUCGCAUACAGUGGUUGGGAUUGAGGAACUCAGCACGCCGCAAGGCCGGGUUUCGACCACGUUCGUGCUUAGGAUGCUGGCAUAAUGGCUUUAAGCGACCCGUCUUGAAACACGGACCAAGGAGUCUAACAUGCCUGCGAGUAUUUGGGUGGAAAACCCAAGUGCGUAAUGAAAGUGAAAGUUGAGAUCCCUGUCGUGGGGAGCAUCGACGCCCGGACCAGAACUUUUGGGACGGAUCCGCGGUGGAGCAUGUAUGUUGGGACCCGAAAGAUGGUGAACUAUGCCUGAAUAGGGUGAAGCCAGAGGAAACUCUGGUGGAGGCUCGUAGCGAUUCUGACGUGCAAAUCGAUCGUCAAAUUUGGGUAUAGGGGCGAAAGACUAAUCGAACCAUCUAGUAGCUGGUUCCUGCCGAGUUUCCCUC
rnacentral:rRNA from 1 species